CCUCUGGAGGACACCCUGAGAGGCUGGGCUCGCCUUUCUCUCCCCAGCUAUCUGUGCUCACAGCUUCUCAUCCUGUUAUCAAUGACUAGGAGCACCUUGCAGGCUGCCCUGUCUGGAAACACCUUUCAGUGCCCCACUGUGAACGAAAGGUGGGCAAACUGCGCCAGCCCGAGGCCCUUUCACCAUGGCCCCUGCAGGCCGUCUCCUUUGGUCUGUUGCCCACCGAGCUCCAAGGCCCAGGCUCUGGUGGCACCGUGUGAGUCCCACAUCUGCGCCAGCUGCUCUUAGCAAAACAGGCAGAAACCUCACCUGGGUAUUCCCGACGUGGUCUCCCCAAAUGCCUGGCAAACAAAGCAAAGAAGUGGAGCAGAGCUGGCUCCUGUGAAGCAGAGCUAGCUCCUGGGCAAUCACCGCUGCCAUUUUCAGGGGCCUCUCUCCAGGGACGCAGACUUCCAGCCUUCAUGAGAGUUGUGCCACGGAUCAACAGGCACAGAGAUACAAGUAAGAGGAAGAUCUGAGGAGAGCGGAGAGCCAAGGCUCUCCUGCCCAGUCCUGACACAAUGAACCCAGGUAACAAUAGGCGCAAGUCAAACCAAGAAAAUGGGUCAUUUUCUGGUUAUCCCCAGUCUACAGAUGGGAAAAUGCAGCACAGAUACUGUGAAGUGGGGAUGCACUGGACUGAUGGUCUGAUGACAGUGUGAAGAGAGUGGAGUUCCCUUAUAAAGUAAUUUCUGUAGUCCAUGCAUCCUAUGAAGUGGGAAGAAACAUCAACUCAGUAUAAACUUCUUCAAGCAAGAAAAAUAGCACUGUAGUAAGAGCUCUUUGCCAUUCAAACAUUUUUUUUUUUUUUUUAUUUUACUUUGUCUCCAUUCCUUUCUGCACAUUAUUUGUACCUGCAUUGCUACUCAUAUAUCAUUCUUCUAAAUAUCCUCUUGGGGAAUAGACAUGUACUUUCUCUGUUUCUUUUUAUGUUACCAAUGUUUAGAAGUUAGAAUGUGCUCUUUUACUUAAAAAAAAUAUUGUCAUAGGGUUGCUUCUACGCUAAGGUUGUUGCUAUCCUAAAAUGUGCUUUAUUUCAAUAAAAAUUGUCUGUGAAGAUGGAUGCAA